AAAAUACUCCCUUUGUCCGAAAAUACUUGUCAUCAAAAUGGACAAAAAGGGAUGUAUCUAGAACUAGAAUAUAUCUGGAUACAUCCCCUUUUAUUCAUUUUGAUGACAAGUAUUUCCGAGCGAAGUAGUACUAC
rfam:Triticum aestivum genome assembly, contig: Triticum_aestivum_CS42_TGACv1_scaffold_031774_1BL